GAGAAGACUUGUUGGAUCCUCUGAAGCAGCAGUCUUCUCUGUGCUUGUUCUUCUGAGAGCCCGUACUGCACGAGUAAGGGGCAGACACCCUCGUGGGCCCAGAUCCGUGGGGCUGCUUUCUGAUGGGAGAAGGAUGAGACCUGACUCCGUAGCCAUUACUCACACCAAGCAGUACUCGUUCAGUCUCUGCAGGUCUAGCAUCCAUGUCCAUUCCCUCAUGGUGCUCCCUUGUGGAGCUUCGGCAGAGGCUUUGCAGGCGCUCGGAGUGACGAGGAUGGGAGAAAGGAGGGGAUCGGUGCUCCGACACAGCAGCCAUUUUAAGCUGCUUCUUCCACAGCUGGAAAUCAUUGCGAUAGCAUCAGCUGCCAAGGAGAGUUAUGAGAUUUGGCAGGAUUCAGAGGGAAAGAGGUAGCAGCUAAAUCACUUGUGAAUAGCAAGCGCUUCAAAGGCAGAGCGUGGGGCCCUGGCUGGCGGGCGGGUGCUGUGCCGGGAUGGAUCCGGACCCGGUGAGGGUGCUGGGGGCAGCACGAGGCUCUGAGCAGGGUGAACGGCACCCACAGGGCCUGACCUGCUCUUUGUGGCCCCACCGGUGCAUCCCCAGGCACAGGCAGCUGGGACACCUCGCAGCUGGAGCUGAUGCAUUAUUCAGCAAGGAAAUAAGUGCUCUGCAACCCCACCGCAAAAAAAAAAAAAACCACAACUCCAUAAUGCAAGGAUAGGAAGCAUACAAUAUAUUCCUCUCCAAAUUAAUUGCUAUUAUUUUGAUUAAAACACAUUAUCAUAUAAAUAUUUGAUUAAGAAUGUGAUUAAAUCUUUCUUGCUUAUGAACUGUGACAACUUUAAAGUCUAACCUUUUAUAGCUUGGCACCACAUCAUUAUUUUGCUCAUUAGCUACGUUUAAUAAUUCGAUCUCAUAAUAUGCUUUGCCAUUUGGAACCUGCCUUUGUGUGCCAAGUUCAAAUCGAUGCUGUUAGUUAUUUGUGCCACUGCAGAUAAUUAAACAAAAAUUAAAAGCAAUUUAACCUUGCAGUCUGGCUGCGG